UGGGGAAUCUUAGACAAUGGGGGAAACCCUGAUCUAGCCAUGCCGCGUGAGUGAUGAAGGCCUUAGGGUUGUAAAGCUCUUUCAGCUGGGAAGAUAAUGACGGUACCAGCAGAAGAAGCCCCGGCUAAAUACGUGCCAGCAGCCGCGGUAAUACGUAUGGAGCGAGCGUUGUCCGGAAUUAUUGGGCGUAAAGGGUGCGCAGGCGGCUUUACAAGUUGGAUGUGAAAUAUUGUGGCUCAACCACAAACGUGCAUCCAAAACUGCAAAGCUUGAGUUAAGGAGAGGUAAGUGGAAUUCCUGGUGUAGCGGUGGAAUGCGUAGAUAUCAGGAGGAAUACCGGUGGCGAAGGCGACUUACUGGACUUAAACUGACGCUCAGGCACGAAAGCGUGGGGAGCAAACAGG
rnacentral:rRNA from 1 species